rnacentral:rRNA from 1 species
CGCCGGCGGCGUGCCUAAUUACAUGCAAGUCGAACGCACUCUCGUUUAGAUUGAAGGAGCUUGCUCCUGAUUGAUAAACAUUUGAGUGAGUGGCGGACGGGUGAGUAACACGUGGGUAACCUGCCCUAAAGUGGGGGAUAACAUUUGGAAACAGAUGCUAAUACCGCAUAAAACCUAACACCGCAUGGUGUAGGGUUGAAAGAUGGUUUCGGCUAUCACUUUAGGAUGGACCCGCGGUGCAUUAGUUAGUUGGUGAGGUAAAGGCUCACCAAGACCGUGAUGCAUAGCCGACCUGAGAGGGUAAUCGGCCACACUGGGACUGAGACACGGCCCAGACUCCUACGGGAGGCAGCAGUAGGGAAUCUUCCACAAUGGACGAAAGUCUGAUGGAGCAACGCCGCGUGAGUGAAGAAGGUUUUCGGAUCGUAAAACUCUGUUGUUGGAGAAGAAUGUAUCUGAUAGUAACUGAUCAGGUAGUGACAGUAUCCAACCAGAAAGCCACGGCUAACUACGUG